AAGUGCUUACAGCUCUUUUUGAAUUUGUCUAGUAGGUCUUCUGGUUCAGGGCCAGAAGGUCCUA